rnacentral:rRNA from 1 species
UACGGAGGGUGCAAGCAUUAAUCGGAUUUAUUGGGCGUAAAGGGCGCGUAGGCGGAAAUAAUAGUCAGAUGUGAAAUCCCGGGGCUCAACCUCGGAACAGCAUUUGAAACUGUAUUUCUAGAGGAUAGGCGGAGAAAACGGAAUUCCACAAGUAGCGGUGAAAUGCGUAGAUAUGUGGAAGAACACCGGUGGCGAAGGCGGUUUUCUAGCUUAUUCCUGACGCUGAGGCGCGAAAGCAAGGGGAUCAAACAGG